rnacentral:rRNA from 1 species
GAUGAGCGCUGGCGGCGUGCCUAAUACAUGCAAGUCGAGCGAACAGACGAGGAGCUUGCUCCUUCGACGUUAGCGGCGGACGGGUGAGUAACACGUAGGUAACCUACCUAUAAGACUGGGAUAACUUCGGGAAACCGGAGCUAAUACCGGAUAAUAUUUCGAACCGCAUGGUUCGAUAGUGAAAGAUGGCUUUGCUAUCACUUAUAGAUGGACCUGCGCCGUAUUAGCUAGUUGGUAAGGUAACGGCUUACCAAGGCAACGAUACGUAGCCGACCUGAGAGGGUGAUCGGCCACACUGGAACUGAGACACGGUCCAGACUCCUACGGGAGGCAGCAGUAGGGAAUCUUCCGCAAUGGGCGAAAGCCUGACGGAGCAACGCCGCGUGAGUGAUGAAGGUCUUCGGAUCGUAAAACUCUGUUAUUAGGGAAGAACAAACGUGUAAGUAACUGUGCACGUCUUGACGGUACCUAAUCAGAAAGCCACGGCCAACUACGUG